rnacentral:rRNA from 1 species
AGCGAACGCUGGCGGCAGGCCUAACACAUGCAAGUCGAACGAAGAUGAGGUGCUUGCACCUUAUCUUAGCGGCGGACGGGUGAGUAAUGCUUAGGAAUCUGCCUAUUAGUGGGGGACGACAUUCCGAAAGGAAUGCUAAUACCGCAUACGCCCUACGGGGGAAAGCAGGGGAUCUUCGGACCUUGCGCUAAUAGAUGAGCCUAAGUCGGAUUAGCUAGUUGGUGGGGUAAAGGCCUACCAAGGCGACGAUCUGUAGCGGGUCUGAGAGGAUGAUCCGCCACACUGGGACUGAGACACGGCCCAGACUCCUACGGGAGGCAGCAGUGGGGAAUAUUGGACAAUGGGCGGAAGCCUGAUCCAGCCAUGCCGCGUGUGUGAAGAAGGCCUUUUGGUUGUAAAGCACUUUAAGCGAGGAGGAGGCUACCUGGAUUAAUACUCUAGGAUAGUGGACGUUACUCGCAGAAUAAGCACCGGCUAACUCUGUGCCAGCCGCCGCAGUAAAAC